rnacentral:rRNA from 1 species
GAUGAACGCUAGCUACAGGCUUAACACAUGCAAGUCGAGGGACCGGCGCACGGGUGAGUAACACGUAUCCAACCUGCCCUUUACUCGGGGAUAGCCUUUCGAAAGAAAUAUUAAUACCCGAUAUAAAGGAUGGGGAUGCGUUCCAUUAGGUUGUUGGUAAGGUAACGGCUAACCAAGCCUUCGAUGGAUAGGGGUUCUGAGAGGAAGGUCCACCAGAUCGGAGCUGAGACACGGUCCAAACUCCUACGGAGGGCAGGAGUGAGGAAUAUAGGGCAAUGGGCGCUAGCCUGACCCAGCCACGUAGCGUGAAGGAUGAAGGCUUAUGGGUCGUAAACUUCUGUUAUAUAAGAAUAUGUAUUAUAUGAAUAAGGAUCGGCUAACUCCGUGCCAGCAGCCGCGGUAAUUC